rnacentral:rRNA from 1 species
UCAAGAAACUUCCACAAUGGGCGAAAGCCUGAUGGAGCGACGUCGCGUGAUGGACGAAGUGCUUCGGCACGUAAACAUCUUUUUAUGUGGGAUGAAAUUAUUGACAGUACCACAUGAAUAAGGGGCUCCUAACUCUGUGCCAGCAGGAGCGGUAAUACAGAGGCCCCAAGCGUUAUCCGGAAUCACUGGGCGUAAAGGGUGUCGAGGCGGUUGUAUUAGUCGUUCGUAAAAUCUACGAGCUUAACUUGUAGGCGGCGAACGAAACGGUACGACUUGAGGUUUGGAGAGGUGCGUGGAACUCACGGUGUAGGGGUGAAAUCCGUUGAUAUCGUGGGGAACACCAAAGGCGAAGGCAGCGCACUGGCCAAAAUCUGACGCUCACACACGAAAGCUAGGGGAGCAAACGGGAUUAGAUACCCACGUAGUCCCUGAGCGGGCUGGCAAGGCGCAU